rnacentral:rRNA from 1 species
GAUUUCUAUUUGAAUUUUAACAUUUGGAGUUGAGUGGCGAACUGGUGAGUAACACGUGGGAAACCUGCCCAGAAGCGGGGGAUAACACCUGGAAACAGAUGCUAAUACCGCAUAACAACUUGGACCGCAUGGUCCGAGUUUGAAAGAUGGCUUCGGCUAUCACUUUUGGAUGGUCCCGCGGCGUAUUAGCUAGAUGGUGGGGUAACGGCUCACCAUGGCAAUGAUACGUAGCCGACCUGAGAGGGUAAUCGGCCACAUUGGGACUGAGACACGGCCCAAACUCCUACGGGAGGCAGCAGUAGGGAAUCUUCCACAAUGGACGAAAGUCUGAUGGAGCAACGCCGCGUGAGUGAAAAAGGGUUUCGGCUCGUAAAACUCUGUUGUUAAAAAAAAACAUAUCUGAGAGUAACUGUUCAGGUAUUGACGGUAUUUAACCCGAAAGCCACGGCUAACUACGUGCCAGCUGCCGCGGUAAUACAUAAGUGGCAAACGUUGUUCGGAUUUAUUGGGCGCAAAGCGAGGCCCGGGGGUUUUUUAAGUCUGAAGUGAAAGCCCCCGGCUCAACCGAUUAAGUGUUCGGAAAGGGGAACUUGAGUGCAGACGAAAACAUGGAACUCCCUGUGAAGGGGGGAAAUGCAUAAAUAUUUGGAAGAAUAUCUCGGCGAAAGCUGCUGUCUGUUCUGUAUCUGAAGAAAAAGAUCGAAAUAUGGGUACAUGUAGGAUUAAAUAACCUGGGUGGUCUAUCCCCCGACACCAAAGGAUGCUCCGUGUCGGGAGGGCUGCCUCCCUUCUCGGAGUUUCCAAAGCUUUACACUU